GAGGAAAAGAAACUAACAAGGAUUCCCCUAGUAACUGCGAGUGAAGCGGGAAAAGCUCAAAUUUAAAAUCUGAUGGUCCUUUGAUCAUUCGAGUUGUAGUCUGGAGAAGCGUCUUCCGUGCUGUGCCGUGUGCAAGUCUCUUGGAACAGAGCAUCAUAGAGGGUGAGAAUCCCGUCUUUGACAUGGACCUGUCAGUGCUUUGCGAUGCGCUCUCGAAGAGUCGAGUUGUUUGGGAAUGCAGCUCAAAAUGGGUGGUAAAUUCCAUCUAAAGCUAAAUAUUGGCGAGAGACCGAUAGCGAACAAGUACCGUGAGGGAAAGAUGAAAAGCACUUUGAAAAGAGAGUUAAACAGUACGUGAAAUUGCUGAAAGGGAAACGCUUGAAGUCAGUCGCGUUGAUCGGAACUCAGCCUUGCCUUUAAUCAGGCUCGGUGCACUUUUUGAUCGACGGGCCAGCAUCAUUUUUGAUUGUCGGAUAAAGAUGGAAGGAAUGUGGCAUCUUUGGAUGUGUUUAUAGCCUUUGGUUGCAUACGACGGUUAGAAUUGAGGAAUUUCAGCACAUCAUCUUUUUUUGAGAUGGUCAGAGCGAUGAGCUCUCACGUUUUUGUGCUUAGGAUGCUGGUGUAAUGGCUUUAAACGACCCGUCUUGA
rnacentral:rRNA from 1 species